CCUACGGGCGGCAGCAGUGAGGAAUAUUGGUCAAUGGACGAGAGUCUGAACCAGCCAAGUAGCGUGAAGGAUGACUGCCCUAUGGGUUGUAAACUUCUUGUAUAUGGGAAUAAAACGUUCCACGUGUGGGAUUUUGUAUGUACCAUAUUAAUAAGGAUCGGCUAACUCUGUGCCAGCAGCCGCGGUAAUACGGAGGAUCCGAGCGUUAUCCGGAUUUAUUGGGUUUAAAGGGAGCGUAGGUGGAUUGUUAAGUCAGUUGUGAAAGUUUGCGGCUCAACCGUAAAAUUGCAGUUGAAACUGGCAGUCUUGAGUACAGUAGAGGUGGGCGGAAUUCGUGGUGUAGCGGUGAAAUGCUUAGAUAUCACGAAGAACUCCGAUUGCGAAGGCAGUUCACUGGACUGCAACUGACACUGAGGCUCGAAAGUGUGGGUAUCAAACAGGAUUAGAUACCCGUGUAGUC
rnacentral:rRNA from 1 species